CCUAGGGAGGCAGCAGUGGGGAAUAUUGCGCAAUGGGGGCAACCCUGACGCAGCCAUGCCGCGUGAAUGAAGAAGGCCUUCGGGUUGUAAAGUUCUUUCGGUAUUGAGGAAGGUUGUUGUGUUAAUAGCACGACAAAUUGACGUUAAAUACAGAAGAAGCACCGGCUAACUCCGUGCCAGCAGCCGCGGUAAUACGGAGGGUGCGAGCGUUAAUCGGAAUAACUGGGCGUAAAGGGCACGCAGGCGGUUAUUUAAGUGAGGUGUGAAAGCCCCGGGCUUAACCUGGGAAUUGCAUUUCAGACUGGGUAACUAGAGUACUUUAGGGAGGGGUAGAAUUCCACGUGUAGCGGUGAAAUGCGUAGAGAUGUGGAGGAAUACUGAAGGCGAAGGCAGCCCCUUGGGAAUGUACUGACGCUCAUGUGCGAAAGCGUGGGGAGCAAACAGGAUUAGAUACCCUUGUAGUC
rnacentral:rRNA from 1 species